rnacentral:rRNA from 1 species
CUCACGCACUCCUACGGGAGGCAGCAGUGGGGAAUAUUGCACAAUGGGCGCAAGCCUGAUGCAGCCAUGCCGCGUGUAUGAAGAAGGCCUUCGGGUUGUAAAGUACUUUCAGCAGUGAGGAAGGUGGGUAUGUUAAUAGCAUAUUCAUUUGACGUUAGCUGCAGAAGAAGCACCGGCUAACUCCGUGCCAGCAGCCGCGGUAAUACGGAGGGUGCGAGCGUUAAUCGGAAUUACUGGGCGUAAAGCGCAUGCAGGUGGUUUGUUAAGUCAGAUGUGAAAGCCCGGGGCUCAACCUCGGAAUUGCAUUUGAAACUGGCAAACUAGAGUACUGUAGAGGGGGUAGAAUUUCAGGUGUAGCGGUGAAAUGCGUAGAGAUCUGAAGGAAUACCGGUGGCGAAGGCGGCCCCCUGGACAGAUACUGACACUCAGAUGCGAAAGCGUGGGGAGCAAACAGGAUUAGAUACCCUGGUAG